GGAGAGGUCGCAUAGUGGCCUAGUGCGCGCGCUUGGAAAGCGCGUGUCCCUGAAAGGGGACCGGGGGUUCGAAUCCCCCCCUCUCCGCCA
rnacentral:tRNA from 1 species